rnacentral:lncRNA from 1 species
AUUAUUGCUAUAUUUAUGUUAUAUAUACAAUAUAUUUUCAAGCUUAGUCAAAAUAUGUUACAUGGUGAAGUGGUUUGUGAGUGAUUUUACUUCCAAGAGGUGUUGGGAUGGCAUAAAAGUCAUUGCUAUCCAUAUCAGGUUUUUUCCUUAUACUUAAGUAAAGGACAAAAAUGACAUUUUGCUCCAUCAUUUUCCCAAACCUACUUUGAGU